GUGUGUGUGUCUGUAAGUAUGUGUGAGUGUCUGUAAGUGUAUGUGUGAGUGUGUAUGUGUUUCUCUGUGAGUGUGUGUGUCUGUAAGUGUAUGUGUGAGUGUUUGUGUCUGUAAAUGUGUGUUUAUCUGUAAGUGUAUGUGUGAGUGUGUGUGUGUGUGUGUGUGUGUGUUUGUCUGUGAGCAGAGUACUUGCAGAAUAGAAGAAAGAAGGAGUAGAGUACUUGUAAAAAAGGAGAAAGAAUGAAAAGGAAAACGAAAAGGAGA